GGGCACAUAGCUCAGUUGGUUAGAGCGCGUCUCUGAUAAAGACGAGGUCUCAGGUUCGAAUCCUGAUGUGCCCAC
rnacentral:tRNA from 1 species